rnacentral:rRNA from 1 species
GUAGGGAAUCUUGCGCAAUGGGCGAAAGCCUGACGCAGCCAUGCCGCGUGAAUGAUGAAGGUCUUAGGAUUGUAAAAUUCUUUCACCGGGGACGAUAAUGACGGUACCCGGAGAAGAAGCCCCGGCUAACUUCGUGCCAGCAGCCGCGGUAAUACGAAGGGGGCUAGCGUUGCUCGGAAUUACUGGGCGUAAAGGGCGCGUAGGCGGACAGUUUAGUCAGAGGUGAAAGCCCAGGGCUCAACCUUGGAAUUGCCUUUGAUACUGGCUGUCUUGAGUACGGGAGAGGUGAGUGGAACUCCGAGUGUAGAGGUGAAAUUCGUAGAUAUUCGGAAGAACACCAGUGGCGAAGGCGACUCACUGGCCCGUUACUGACGCUGAUGCGCGAAAGCGUGGGGAGCAAACAGGAUUAGAAACCCUAGUAGUCC